rnacentral:lncRNA from 1 species
ACGCCCCAGGGGGAGGCCUGGUGACCUUGAGGGAAGUAGGGCCCUGUCCUUGACCACUUAUCAGGGCCUGUCCCUCAUUCACCCGACCCAACUUUGCUGGGGGGGUGUGAGGUGGGGUAAUUUAUUCAGUUCUAACCAGGCAAGAACCUGCCUGUCCUGCACCCUGGCCUGUCCUCUGGAGGUUAUCUGAUGAGGGCCUAUUCUGAGGGAAGCCCUCCCUGACUGCAGGUGCCUCCUUUGACUCCUCCAUCCCGGUGCUGGAUCUGGCAUGACCUCUGAAGUGCCCGGUGUCCAGCCUGGCAGAGUGGACGACGAGAAACAGCAGGGGGCCCAGGCCCCA